UAGGGAAUCUUCCGCAAUGGGCGAAUGCCUGACGGAGCAACGCCGCGUGAGUGAUGAAGGUCUUCGGAUCGUAAAACUCUGUUAUUAGGGAAGAACAAAUGUGUAAGUAACUAUGCACAUCUUGACGGUACCUAAUCAGAAAGCCACGGCUAACUACGUGCCAGCAGCCGCGGUAAUACGUAGGUGGCAAGCGUUAUCCGGAAUUAUUGGGCGUAAAGCGAGCGCAGGCGGUUAGAUAAGUCUGAAGUUAAAGGCAGUGGCUCAACCAUUGUAGGCUUUGGAAACUGUUUAACUUGAGUGCAGAAGGGGAGAGUGGAAUUCCAUGUGUAGCGGUGAAAUGCGUAGAUAUAUGGAGGAACACCGGUGGCGAAAGCGGCUCUCUGGUCUGUAACUGACGCUGAGGCUCGAAAGCGUGGGGAGCGAACAGG
rnacentral:rRNA from 1 species